rnacentral:rRNA from 1 species
ACAGAGGUCCCGAGCGUUGUUCGGAUUCACUGGGCGUAAAGGGUGCGUAGGUGGUCGGGUAAGUCCGGUGUGAAAUCUCGGAGCUCAACUCCGAAACUGCAUUGGAUACUAUUCGGCUAGAGGGUUGGAGGGGGGACUGGAAUUCUCGGUGUAGCAGUGAAAUGCGUAGAUAUCGAGAGGAACACCAGUGGCGAAGGCGAGUCCCUGGACAACUCCUGACGCUGAGGCACGAUAGCUAGGGGAGCAAACAGGA